UUAGAGCUACAUGUUUCAAAGAUGAAUAUUGUAUGUGAUAAAUGAAGAUGUUUUACUUCUUAUAUAUCUGAAUUUAAGGACUUGACCACUUAUGUUUCCUAAGAUUUUUCAAUAUUUUUGCUUAAAGUGAAGCCUUAUGUAACUUAGGAAGAAGCUAAUCGUAUACUGAAUGAUAUCUAUGUCUUGCAGAUAUCAAACCUUCCAAUAUUCUUCUGGACAGAAGUGGAAAUAUUAAGCUCUGUGACUUCGGCAUCAGUGGACAGCUUGUGGACUCUAUUGCCAAGACAAGAGAUGCUGGCUGUAGGCCAUACAUGGCACCUGAAAGAAUAGACCCAAGCGCAUCACGACAAGGAUAUGAUGUCCGCUCUGAUGUCUGGAGUUUGGGGAUCACAUUGUAUGAGUUGGCCACGGGCCGAUUUCCUUAUCCAAAGUGGAAUAGUGUAUUUGAUCAACUAACACAAGUCGUGAAAGGAGAUCCUCCGCAGCUGAGUAAUUCUGAGGAAAGGGAAUUCUCCCCGAGUUUCAUCAACUUUGUCAAC
rnacentral:sRNA from 1 species